rnacentral:rRNA from 1 species
AUUGAACGCUGGCGGCAGGCUUAACACAUGCAAGUCGAGCGAGCGGCGGCCGGGUGAGUAAUGUCUGGGAAACUGCCUGAUGGAGGGGGAUAACUACUGGAAACGGUAGCUAAUACCGCAUACCAUCAGAUGUGCCCAGAUGGGAUUAGCUUGUCGGUGGGGUAAUGGCUCACCCAGGCGACGAUCCCUAGCUGGUCUGAGAGGAUGACCAGCCAACCUGCAACUGGUACACGGUCCAGACUCCUACGAGAGGCAUCAGUGGGUAAUAUUGCACAAUGGGCGCAAGCCUGAUGCAUCCAUGCCGCGUGUGUGAAGAAGGCCUUCGGGUUGUAAAGUACUUUCAGCGAGGAGGCGUUACUCGCAGAAGAAGCACCGGCUAACUCCGUGCCAGCAGCCGCGGUAAUUC